rnacentral:rRNA from 1 species
GGCAGCGGGGAGGAAGCUUGCUUUCUCCGCCGGCGACCGGCGCACGGGUGAGUUAACACAUAUGCAACCCGCCCCUGUCAGGGGGGACAACCCGCCAAAAGGAGGGCUAAACCCGCGUACAUGCCACCGGGGCAUCCCGGAGGCAGGAAAGGCUUCGGCCGGACAGGGAUGGGCAUGCGGCGCAUUAGGCAGUAGGCGGGGUAACGGCCCACCUAACCGACGAUGCGUAGGGGUUCUGAGAGGAAGGUCCCCCACACUGGUACUGAGACACGGACCAGACUCCUACGGGAGGCAGCAGUGAGGAAUAUUGGUCAAUGGUCGGGAGACUGAACCAGCCAAGCCGCGUGAGGGAGGAAGGUACAGAGUAUCGUAAACCUCUUUUGUCAGGGAACAAAGGCGGGGACGUGUCCCCGGAUGAGUGUACCUGAAGAAAAAGCAUCGGCUAACUCCGUGCCAGCAGCCGCGGUAAUACGGAGGAUGCGAGCGUUAUCCGGAUUUAUUGGGUUUAAAGGGUGCGCAGGCGGUCUGUUAAGUCAGCGGUCAAAGCCCGGGGCUCAACCCCGGCCCGCCGUUGAAACUGGCAGUCUCGAGUUGGAGAGAAGUAUGCGGAAUGCGCGGUGUAGCGGUGAAAUGCAUAGAUAUCGCGCAGAACUCCGAUUGCGAAGGCAGCAUGCCGGCUCCACACUGACGCUGAGGCACGAAAGCGUGGGUAUCGAACAGGAUUAGAUACCCUGGUAGUCCACGCAGUAAACGAUGAAUGCUGGCUGUCCGGGGGGACUGACCCCUGGGUGGCGAAGCGAAAGCGAUAAGCAUUCCACCUGGGGAGUACGCCGGCAACGGUGAAACUCAAAAGGAAUUGACGGGGGCCCGCACAAGCGGAGGAACAUGUGGUUUAAUUCGAUGAUACGCGAGGAACCUUACCCGGGCUCAAACGGGGAGUGACUCAGGCAGAGACGCCUGUUUCCCACGUGACACUCCCCGAGGUGCUGCAUGGUUGUCGUCAGCUCGUGCCGUGAGGUGUCGGCUUAAGUGCCAUAACGAGCGCAACCCCCGCGUGCAGUUGCUAACAGAUAACGCUGAGGACUCUGCACGGACUGCCGGCGCAAGCCGCGAGGAAGGCGGGGAUGACGUCAAAUCAGCACGGCCCUUACGUCCGGGGCGACAUACGUGUUACAAUGGGUGGUACAGCGGGAAGCCAGGCGGCGACGCCGAGCGGAACCCGAAAUCCACUCUCAGUUCGGAUCGGAGUCUGCAACCCGACUCCGUGAAGCUGGAUUCGCUAGUAAUCGCGCAUCAGCCAUGGCGCGGUGAAUACGUUCCCGGGCCUUGUACUCACCGCCCGUCAAG